GGUCAGUGAUGAUAAGUAAAAGGUCUGACUGCACAGAGUUAUCCUCACAGCCUCGCUCCCAGGGAACCCUGCAAUUCCCAUCCUGCUCUAGACGUGCUGCGAUGGUAGAAGGUUUCCUGAUAGUAAUUGAUGCUGUUGUUUAGUCAGUUCGCGAGUUUUGGAACAUGUCUGCAAUGCACACCUAACACACAUACUUACUCAGGAGUGUGGUGCUGUGAGGUUUGUCUCUGUUGCCUGACUGCAAAUUGAAAACUGAGACC